GUGAAUCAUCAAAUUUUUGAACGCAAAUUGCACUCUCCUCUGAGAGUAUGCGUGUUUGAGGGUCAGCCUAUAAAAAUCGACAUCGUUGCUGUUUCGCGGUGGCGUGCGGCGGAAAUUGGGUCAGCGUAAAUCCUUUUGAUUUGAGCAACUUAAAAUUUUCUUUUGGUUCCAUGAACGUUUCUAAGAGCUAUUUCUUUACACGUUUAAGUUAUCGAUUUUUACUAGACGUUACCAUCAUAUCUGAUCGCGUCCAUGAUCUUUCAUUAACUGACCUCA
rnacentral:misc_RNA from 1 species